UAACAGCUGGAAACGGCUGCUAAUAACCGCAUAAGCGCACGAAGCUGCAUGGCUUUGUGUGAAAAACUACCGGUGGUAUGGGAUGGGCCCGCGUCUGAUUAGGCAGUUGGCGGGGUAACGGCCCACCAAACCGACGAUCAGUAGCCGGCCUGAGAGGGCGACCGGCCACAUUGGGACUGAGACACGGCCCAAACUCCGUACGGGAGGCAGCAUG
rnacentral:rRNA from 1 species